ACGCCCCUCACGUCGCAGACGCGAUCCUGGGGAAUCAGAUGCUCACUCACUACGAGCGCGCUCACAUCGCUCAGCUGUGUGAGAAAGCCGGUUUACUGCAGAGAGCUCUGGAGCAUUACAGCGACCCCGACGACAUCAAACGAGCCGUCGUACACACACACCUGCUCAACCCCGAGUGGUUGGUGAAUUUCUUC